rnacentral:rRNA from 1 species
UUUUACAAUGGAGAGUUUGAUCCUGGCUCAGGAUGAACGCUAGCUACAGGCUUAACACAUGCAAGUCGAGGGGAAACGGCAUUAAGUGCUUGCACUUU